AGAAAGCCACGGCUAACUACGUGCCAGCAGCCGCGGUAAUACGUAGGUGGCAAGCGUUGUCCGGAUUUAUUGGGCGUAAAGCGAGCGCAGGCGGUUUUUUAAGUCUGAUGUGAAAGCCUUCGGCUCAACCGAAGAAGUGCAUCGGAAACUGGGAAAUUUGAGUGCAGAAGAGGACAGUGGAACUCCAUGUGUAGCGGUGAAAUGCGUAGAUAUAUGGAAGAACACCAGUGGCGAAGGCGGCUGUCUGGUCUGUAACUGACGCUGAGGCUCGAAAGUAUGGGUAGCAAACAGGAUUAGAUACCCUGGUAGUCCA
rnacentral:rRNA from 1 species